rnacentral:rRNA from 1 species
AAUCAACGCUGGCGGCGUGCCUAACACAUGCAAGUCGAACGAGAAAGUGGAGCAAUCCAUGAGUAAAGUGGCGACCGGGUGAGUAACACGUGACUAACCUACCCUACAGUGGGGGAUAACCUCGGGAAACCGGGGCUAAUACCGCAUAACAUUACGAGGUGCAACUCUUUGUAAUCAAAGGAGCAAUUCGCUGAAGGGAGGGGGUCGCGGCUGAUUAGCUAGUUGGUGAGGUAACGGCUCACCAAGGCAAUGAUCAGUAGCCGGCCUGAGAGGGCGCACGGCCACACUGGAACUGAAACACGGUCCAGACUCCUACGGGAGGCAGCAGUGGGGAAUUUUGUCGCAAGUGGGGGAAACCCGUGACGCAGCAACGCCGCGUGGAGGAUGAA